rnacentral:rRNA from 1 species
UUUUAUUUGAGAGUUUGAUCCUGGCUCAGGAUGAACGCUGGCGGCGUGCCUAACACAUGCAAGUUGAGCGAUUUACUUCGGUAAAGAGCGGCGGACGGGUGAGUAACGCGUGGGUAACCUACCCUGUACACACGGAUAACAUACCGAAAGGUAUGCUAAUACGGGAUAAUAUAUUUGAGAGGCAUCUCUUGAAUAUCAAAGGUGAGCCAGUACAGGAUGGACCCGCGUCUGAUUAGCUAGUUGGUAAGGUAACGGCUUACCAAGGCGACGAUCAGUAGCCGACCUGAGAGGGUGAUCGGCCACAUUGGAACUGAGACACGGUCCAAACUCCUACGGGAGGCAGCAGUGGGGAAUAUUGCACAAUGGGCGAAAGCCUGAUGCAGCAACGCCGCGUGAGUGAUGAAGGCCUUCGGGUCGUAAAACUCUGUC